CCGGUGGAGCUCUCCAGGGUUCUGACAGAGCUCUCACUCUCCCCUGGAGUCCUCCGGUGGAGCCAUAGCAGUCUCUCAAAGCUCAAUGGCUUUGAUCAUCUAUGGUCUGUGGUUUUCUCUUCCAGGCUACUAGACAUUCUUGGCAAGGCAUGCAAGGGGUGAUGUUCCAAUGCCUCUUAACAGUGUUGUCCACAUGUUCUUAUAUACAUGAUACGGAAGAAAGAAAGAAAGACUGAAUCCCUGUAUGAAGCUAAAAUAAUGGAAAAAAAGCCAUUUGCCACACCAUCAUACCAAAAGCUGAUAACUCUUACAAUAUGGAGUCGAGUCUAGUUCAUUCACUCUCUGUAAAAGCAACCGUAUAUCAUAACUACGACCAAGAGCACAAGCUAUAUUGGUCUGCCAGCCCCAUAUUUUCCUCAUAUAAUAGUUUCUGCUCCGUCUGAAUUCAAAAAGUAUUGAUUCAGAUUUUAAUGCCCACCAUG